rnacentral:rRNA from 1 species
UAUUAUUUAAAAUGUAAAUAAAAACACUUAAGUAGUAUUAGUUAUGUUCUUGAAACUUAAAAAAUUUGGCGGUAUUUUAGUCUAUUCAGAGGAACCUGUCCUGUAAUUGAUAAUCCACGAUGUACCUUACUUAAAUUUGUUUUCAGUUUAUAUACCGUCGUUAUCAGAAUAUUUUAUUAGAAUAAUAAUUUUCAAUAAUUUAUAAUAAAAAUUAUAUCAGAUCAAGGUGUAGCUUAUAUUUAAGAAGAGAUGGGUUACAAUAAAUUUAUUUAAACGAAUUUAAUUUUUAAAUAUAUUAAUGAAGGUGGAUUUGAUAGUAAAAAUUAAAAGAUUAUAAUUUUGAUUUUAGCUCUAAAAUAUGUACACAUCGCCCGUCACUCUUAUUACUAAGAUAAG